rnacentral:rRNA from 1 species
ACACGUGCUACAAUGGGCGGUAACAAAGGGUCGCGAACCCGCGAGGGGGAGCCAAUCCCAAAAAGCCGCUCUCAGUUCGGAUUGCAGGCUGCAACUCGCCUGCAUGAAGCCGGAAUCGCUAGUAAUCGCGGAUCAGCAUGCCGCGGUGAAUACGUUCCCGGGCCUU